UCAAAAAAAAAAAAAAAAAUGGGAAAUAAAUAGGUGCACUUCUAGCUCAGGCAGGGGACUUUGUAUUGCUGUUGCAAUACUAUCCAUCCUUGUUAAUAUUGUAAACACAUCAAUUUCAUUCCUCUAGUACGCUUUUCUCUGACGGGCUCGCUCUCAAAAUGCUACCAAAUAUUUAUAUGAUUAUAUGCAUUCGGGGUUUUAUAUCCGUUGAACCAAAUAUGUGGAGAUGAAAAUUGUACGUUAUCGAAUGCAAUUUUUUUCAUUUUCCGAUGUUGUCAAUUUUUGGUCCGAACUCCGCCUACUUUAAGUACAGCCAAUCACCGCCAUCGUAACACGAGUGAGAUGCGGCUUUCUGAUUGCGUACCCACAGACGGGGUUCAGCAGCAGCAAAUAAAUUUCAGGUUUUACAAGACCCAAAUCUUGUUGGCGAAUAUGCCUUUGAUCACACCUCUAUAUGAUUCUUCACAAAAAAUAACCCUAUCAUUAAAUUAUCAUAGUCGCAAUACUUACAUCAUUGAUACGAUGACACAAUGUAUCGAGUUCAGUAUGUAAUGUUUACUCCGUAAUGGGUGAUAUCAUCGCAUGGAAUAUGGCAGAUUUAUUUGCUACGUAACAUUUUAUGUGAAACAUAUAUUGUAGAGUCCAGUGUAUUAAGUACUUUAUGGAAAUGAGUGUCUAGGUAAUCGUAACUAUUCUUGAACAUACUUAAACUGCAGCACAAUAUCUCGUUAUGGCUUUACGAAUUGGUAAAAUUCACAACAGUUACGCUUUAAAAAACCAUUGAUAGAAACAAUAUUUCGUUAUGGCUUUACGAAUUGGUGGAAUUCGUAUCAGUUAGGCUAUACAAAUCAUUGAUAGACGUUACUGUUUAAUAAUUUGAAUGACAUACUAAUGAUUAAUUAAGUUAAAGACGGAGUCUUUGUUAUUCACCAUAGGCAUGGACACCUGACGAAGACGCCACUUGUUGAAUGUGUGUGUGUCGUAUGAUGUAACCUUGAACUUGGUCCAUAGUGAAAUGUAUACAUACACAGUACUUAGUGUGAGAGGGUAUUGUGCAUAGUAACCAAGUUGAUAUACCGUCGACCUUUUAUAGGUUUUAUUAGGUGGAGUAUAUGGAUUCGAGUAUAAAUCGUUAUAGAAAUACCACCAGGAAGAUUUUCCUUGAAUAUAUGAAUGUUGGUUUUAUUUCAAAAUCUGUGUGCUUAAACGUUAGUCAAAUUGGUUCCUUUUGAGUAUUUUCAUCGGGGCCUAGAUACAAAAGUAUUUCUGGCAUUAAAAAGUAAAACAUGAUAAAGUUUUGAAAGGAAGAAGAACACUAAGCAUCCACUCUGUCUCAUUAUUUUAAAACCAAAUUCUAUGUUGCUUGAAACACUUCUUUGGAUACUUAAGUGAUUGAAUUAAUUAAGACUCUUUAUUAAGUUCCUCUAAAUGUAUAUAAAAAUUAAUCAUUGCAAAUACAUUGCUGUACAUGACAUGUACCAAGGAGGAUGUGAAAGGCUACGCAUGUCAACAAGCAUUUGUUCACUGAGAUGAACAUAUGCGUAUUAUUGACAUUUUAACUGAAGAUCGUUAGUGCUAUAUUUAAAGGAUAUGACCGAACACUGAAAAUCUUUUGAUGUGAAUGUUGAAUUUCUGGUUAUUGUGAUAACUGCUGGAUCAGAAAUCCGCACAUUAAAGGUAUGCAGAUGAGAACUA